rnacentral:miRNA from 1 species
AGGAGGAAUUGGUGCUGGUCUUU